AUUGAACGCUGGCGGCAGGCUUAACACAUGCAAGUCGAGCGAGCGGCGGACGGGUGAGUAAUGUCUGGGAAACUGCCUGAUGGAGGGGGAUAACUACUGGAAACGGUAGCUAAUACCGCAUACCAUCAGAUGUGCCCAGAUCGCAUUAGCUAGUAGGUGGGGUAAUGGCUCACCUAGGCGACGAUCCCUAGCUGGUCUGAGAGGAUGAUCGGCCACACUGGAACUGAGACACGGUCCAGACUCCUACGUGAGGCAGCAGUGGGGAAUAUUGCAAGAUGGGCGGAAGCCUGAUGCAGCCAUGCCGCGUGUGUGAAGAGGGCCUUCGGGUUGUAAAACACUUUCAGCGAGGAGGCGUUACUCGCAGAAGAAGCACCGGCUAACUCCGUGCCAGCAGCCGCGGUAAUAC
rnacentral:rRNA from 1 species